GAUGAAGAACGUAGCGAAAUGCGAUACGUAAUGUGAAUUGCAGAAUUCAGUGAAUCAUCGAAUCUUUGAACGCACAUUGCGCCCGCCAGCACUCUGGCGGGCAUGCCUGUUCGAGCGUCAUUUCAACCAUCAAGCCCCAGGCUUGCGUUGGAGCCCUGCGGCUGCCGCAGCCUCCUAAAAGCAGUGGCGGGCUCGCUAUCACACCGAUUGCAGUAGAUUACUCUUCGCUCAGGGCGUGCAGCGGGUUCCGGCCGUGAAACCCCCUACUUUUAAAGGUUGACCUCGGAUCAGGUAGGAAUACCCGCUGAACUUAAGCAUAUCAAUAAGCGGAGGA
rnacentral:misc_RNA from 1 species